rnacentral:tRNA from 1 species
AGGAAUAAGUCAGACAAAAGAAGACUUCUAAUCUUUCUUUUUAGCAGUGAAAAUCUGUUAUUAUUCU